rnacentral:rRNA from 1 species
GUACAUCCAGCGAACUUAGGUCGAGAGAUGCUUCGGUGCUCGGUACGGACUGAGGACAGGUGCUGCAUGGCUGUCGUCAGCUCGUGUUGUGAAAUGUUGGGUUAAGUCCCGCAACGAGCGCAACCCUUAUCCUUUGUUGCCAGCGAUUCGGUCGGGAACUCAAAGGAGACUGCCGGUGAUAAACCGGAGGAAGGUGGGGAUGACGUCAAGUCAUCAUGGCCCUUACGAGUAGGGCUACACACGUGCUACAAUGGCGCAUACAAAGAGAAGCGACCUCGCGAGAGCAAGCGGACCUCAUAAAGUGCGUCGUAGUCCGGAUCGGAGUCUGCAACUCGACUCCGUGAAGUCGGAAUCGCUAGUAAUCGUGGAUCAGAAUGCCACGGUGAAUACGUUCCCGGGCCUUGUACACACCGCCCGUCACACCAUGGGAGUGGGUUGCAAAAGAAGUAGGUAGCUUAACCUUCGGGAGGGCGCUUACCACUUUGUGAUUCAUGACUGGGGUGAAGUCGUAACAAGGUAAGCGUAGCGAG